rnacentral:rRNA from 1 species
AGGCAGCCUGCCCUCAAGUUUGGGACAACUACCGGAAACGGUAGCUAAUACCGAAUAGUUGUUUCCUUCGCCUGAAGGAAACUGGAAAGACGGAGCAAUCUGUCACUUGGGGAUGGGCCUGCGGCGCAUUAGCUAGUUGGUGGGGUAACGGCUCACCAAGGCGACGAUGCGUAGCCGACCUGAGAGGGUGAUCGGCCACACUGGGACUGAGACACGGCCCAGACUCCUACGGGAGGCAGCAGUAGGGAAUCUUCCGCAAUGGGCGAAAGCCUGACGGAGCAAUGCCGCGUGAGUGAUGAAGGUUUUCGGAUCGUAAAGCUCUGUUGCCAGGGAAGAACGCUUGGGAGAGUAACUGCUCUCAAGGUGACGGUACCUGAGAAGAAAGCCCCGGCUAACUACGUGCCAGCAGCCGCGGUAAUACGUAGGGGGCAAGCGUUGUCCGGAAUUAUUGGGCGUAAAGCGCGCGCAGGCGGUCAUUUAAGUCUGGUGUUUAAUCCCGGGGCUCAACCCCGGAUCGCACUGGAAACUGGGUGACUUGAGUGCAGAAGAGGAGAGUGGAAUUCCACGU